rnacentral:lncRNA from 1 species
AAAUAGCCAAACUCACAGAAACAGAGCAGAAUGGUGGCUGCCAGGGGCGGGGGGAAGGGAAAUGGAGAGUUGCUGUUCAAGAGGCGUGACGUUUCAGCCAUGCAAGAAGAGUAAGUUCUAGAGAUCUGCCAUCCAGCGCAGCAGCUGUGGCUAACAAUAUUGUGCGUGCACUUGGAAAUUUGUUACGAGGACAGAUCUCAUGUUGUGUUCUUACCACGAUAAUAAUAAACUGAUGCAAAUGUUUUUUUGAAAAGAUGGGAAAGUUGGUAAAUACUGUUGGCAAAGGGGAUUUUUAUGUGUAUGAGAAACUUUUAUAACUCUCCAGAGUUAACGCUACAUCAUUUUUCUAUGACUGUGUGCCACAUAUUGUUCACAAUGUCUUGUUUCCACAGCCUUACUUGAUGGGUGUCAAUCUCUCAUCCUACAGACACACGAACUGAGGUUCAUUGGUUAUUAUUGUCAACGAGGAGCCACUCGGUCCUUUGUGAAGGGGAGCGAUGGAUGGAAGCACUGUUUACAGAAACAGGAAAUGCCUGUGUCUUUGCUGCAAACUUAGAAUCAAGACUUGGCCUUCUCACAACACAGGAGACGUGGACCAGAGCGGUGCUGCCAGAGAUCUUGCUACUUGUGGCUGAUGUGGAUGGGGUGGUGCAAAUUAAAACAGAUGUACAACUCAUUUAUACGAUGCUUCAUUUGUCAUUCUGGAUCACAUUGCCUCUGGUCUUUUUAUAUCACUGCACUCGAAGAACCUAAGGUCCUGGCAAUGACAUUUGUGCUUCCUGAAGUGGGUACAUCCCUUCUGGGUGACCUUUUGUGAAAUCACGUGAAUGGCAGCUGCCUGACACCGGUUGUCCUCGUUUAGGCAAUGCCAUCCGAGCUGCUGUCCUUUCAUCUUGCAGCCUCUUACAGCAGCAAUAACAAUGAUUACUCUUUUUCUUGCUGAAUUUAUAGAAUGUAUCUUGGCAUUUUCAGUUACCCAAAUAUUCAAGAAGACAAGCUUUUGUGUGAAUGUUGACUGGGGCACACAGCCACGCUAAUGACAGGAGGUCCUGGAACUACACAGCGACUCCCCAUAAACAGGGAAUGCACACGUAAACUGAACUGGUUUUUAAUCCUAUUAUUUUAAUCACC